GUGUUUUUUUGUGUCAUUUGUUAAAGUUCGAUAAUUUGUUGAACUUCAUAUUUCAUCGAGGUUUUCUUAUCACUUUAUUUUAUUUUAAGCUUCAACAGUUCAUACUUCUGCACCUUGCCGGUCGGCGUUUUCGGGUACUGCUGCACAAUCCUCAAAUGUUUGGGAAUUUUAAAGUACGCCAGCUUAAACUUGCAAAAACUCCUGAUUUCCUCCAUGUCGAUCAUGCCAUCCGAAUCCUUCAACCUGAUGUAAGCGCAAACCUCCUCCCCAAGCCGCUCAUUUGGCACUCCAAUGCAGUGUGAUUCCAGGAUGGC